GACGAACGCUGGCGGCGUGCCUAAUACAUGCAAGUCGUGCGGACCUUGUUGAAAGCUUGCUUUUAAAAGGUUAGCGGCGGACGGGUGAGUAACACGUGGGCAACCUGCCUGUAAGACUGGGAUAACGCCGGGAAACCGGGGCUAAUACCAGAUCGUUUUUUCCUCCGCAUGGAGGAAAAAGGAAAGGCGGCUUCGGCUGCCACCUACAGAUGGGCCCGCGGCGCAUUAGCUAGUUGGCGGGGUAAUGGCCCACCAAGGCAACGAUGCGUAGCCGACCUGAGAGGGUGAUCGGCCACAUUGGGACUGAGACACGGCCCAAACUCCUACGGGAGGCAGCAGUAGGGAAUCUUCCGCAAUGGACGAAAGUCUGACGGAGCAACGCCGCGUGAGUGAAGAAGGCCUUCGGGUCGUAAAACUCUGUUGCCGGGGAAGAACAAGUGCCGUUCGAACAGGGCGGCGCCUUGACGGUACCCGGCCAGAAAGCCACGGCUAACUACGUG
rnacentral:rRNA from 1 species